rnacentral:rRNA from 1 species
GUGGGGAAUUUUGGACAAUGGGCGCAAGCCUGAUCCAGCAAUGCCGCGUGUGUGAAGAAGGCCUUCGGGUUGUAAAGCACUUUUGUCCGGAAAGAAAUGGCCUGGGUUAAUACCCCGGGUCGAUGACGGUACCGGAAGAAUAAGCACCGGCUAACUACGUGCCAGCAGCCGCGGUAAUACGUAGGGUGCGAGCGUUAAUCGGAAUUACUGGGCGUAAAGCGUGCGCAGGCGGCGAUGCAAGACAGAUGUGAAAUCCCCGGGCUCAACCUGGGAACUGCAUUUGUGACUGCAUGGCUAGAGUGCGUCAGAGGGGGGUGGAAUUCCGCGUGUAGCAGUGAAAUGCGUAGAGAUGCGGAGGAACACCGAUGGCGAAGGCAGCCCCCUGGGAUGACACUGACGCUCAUGCACGAAAGCGUGGGGAGCAAACAGGAUUAGAUACCCUGGUAGUCC